UACAAAUUGUUGGCUGUACGUGCCGGCUGUACGUGUCUCGUCUCGUGCAGAAACACUUCAUAGCUGUUGAUGUAUAGGUUGGAGAUCCCUUUGGUUAACUGUUGCAGAAUUUGAGAACAUGACAAAGUCUGAGCUUCAUGGAUGUCUAUCAUUAACAUGAUUUUGUUGCGGCCAGCUGGUGAAAUGUGUGUUCGAGUCAAUAUGAGCUGCUACUGCUGCAUCCAGUUUAACGAGUUGGUGUUAUCCCGAAUUGUCACUGCAGGAAGACUUUAAAUUGGACUUGGUGAUACUUCAACUGAUGUGCUGUUGCUGUUCAAUGUGCAGUGGUUUUGCAGCCUGUUUCCAGUUGAGAGACAUCAUUGAAUGCAGCUGAGGCAGGAUUGAAGAAAAAGAACUGAAGUAGCUGUCAUAUCCGUGUUGCUGACUUUAAAUAUUUUUAUCCGUUUUUAUUUGUGGUUUUGCUCUGCCACUGAGUUGCUUCCUUGAAUUGGUUUCAUCCGUCGUCUUUUGCGUUUUACUUGGGCAGUAUACGAUUGUGGCAAACUGAUUUUAUGUCAGUUUUGAUACAGUCGACAACUGCUAGAUUAAAUUCCGGCUUUCUGCACCAACAAAAUAAUAACGGCACAUGUUAUUAUCGCGGUUGGGAAAGUCACAGGCCCCCCCCUCCCUGGGGGCCAUAAAAUAUAUAUGUGGUUGUGUCAAAAAAUAAAUAAAAUUAAAUAAAUGUAAAAAUUGUUUUAAUAUUAUAAACAAAUAAAACAUGGGAUCAAUGUACAUCGCCAAUUUUUUGCGAAAAAGACUUUAGUAAAAAAAAAA